AAUAAGGAAUGUAGCCCAUUUUUUCCCUUUCCAUACGCUACACCUCGACCUGACGUUUUGGGUUGUACCAAUUNUGCUUACUAGGGGGCCUUCAUAGGGUAAGCUGACGACGGCGGUAUAUAGGCGGGGAGAACAAGAAAAGGUGAGGUUGAACGGGGGUUAUCGGUUUCAGAACAGGCUCCUCUAGGUGGGUCUAAAGCACCGCCAAGUCCUUUGGGUUUUAAGCUGUUGCUCGUAGUUCCCAGGCGGAUAGUNGGUGU
rnacentral:rRNA from 1 species